ACACUCCUGCGGGAGGCAGCAGUGGGGAAUAUUGGACAAUGGGCGCAAGCCUGAUCCAGCCAUGCCGCGUGAGUGAUGAAGGCCCUAGGGUUGUAAAGCUCUUUCACCGGUGAAGAUAAUGACGGUAACCGGAGAAGAAGCCCCGGCUAACUUCGUGCCAGCAGCCGCGGUAAUACGAAGGGGGCUAGCGUUGUUCGGAUUUACUGGGCGUAAAGCGCACGUAGGCGGACUAUUAAGUCAGGGGUGAAAUCCCGGGGCUCAACCCCGGAACUGCCUUUGAUACUGGUAGUCUUGAGUUCGAGAGAGGUGAGUGGAAUUCCGAGUGUAGAGGUGAAAUUCGUAGAUAUUCGGAGGAACACCAGUGGCGAAGGCGGCUCACUGGCUCGAUACUGACGCUGAGGUGCGAAAGCGUGGGGAGCAAACAGGAUUAGAUACCCUAUAGUCCCAUG
rnacentral:rRNA from 1 species